CCGCCUGGCGCCGGCAACAUGGCAGCGUCCAGCCGGGCGCAGGUGCUGCGGUUGUACCGGGCCCUGCUGCGAGAGAGCCAGCGCUUCGGCAGCUACAACUACAGAAUGUAUGCCAUCAGAAGGAUAAGAGAUGCCUUCAGAGAAAACAAGAAUAUAAAGGAUUCUGAAAAAAUAGAAGAACUAGUGAAUAAAGCCAAAGCAAACCUAGAGGUCAUUCAUCGGCAGGGUACAUGACAUCCUUCGUUCUCAAAAGACUGACUCUUUGCUCUACUAUGACAUCCCAAUAUUUAGCAUACUAGUGAGACUCUGAAUUCUUGUAGACCAAAUUAUGGAAAGUCAGGAAGGAUCUUGCUUUCACUUCACGGGAGAAGAUACUGCUUUGAGAAUAGACACUGGAAUUUCAAUCAACAUCGUGAAUGUUUCUGAAAAAUUUUGCAGGGUGAGAAUGGGAAUUUGACUAAAACAGCUCCUUAGUUUUAGCUAUUGUAGAAUCCAGCACUUGCCAGUAGAAAUCAAAAAUAAAGUUGUGGUCGUAAAACAGCAAUGGGUCCAUAGGGUUACACCUGAAGCCAAAGUUGUAAUUCAUAAGUAAUUUCCACAAAAUUCUGCUUUUUUUUUUUUUUUUUUCUUCAAUGGAAGUAGAAGUUAAGAUGCACUUUUGAAUUUCAGUUUGUUGAAAGCUGUGUAUGUUUCAUCCCAGUUGCGGGGACAACUUUGACAAGGCAAGAAAAGUGUUUUACUAUCACCUUCGAUGCCACCCUUGCCUGUCAUAAUGAGAAAGAUGCCUGUUUGGUGACUGCUUUUUCCCAGCCCAAGCCAGCUGCCUCCAGCUAGACCUUUCUUUGGGAUGAUCAAUCACGAAAUUGCAUAUAUAUCUCUUGGGAAAUUCAGUGUGUGUGAGCAGUAAGCAGAAAUACCAGCGGAAAUUCCCUAUUUCAAAUUUUUCACUGACUUUGAAAGAUUUCCUCGUGGUCCUGGUAAUAUUUGACAGCCAUAAAUAAAGAGCACUCUUUAUAACUUAAACUACAAAGAAUUU